AUAAUUAUAUUAAUUAUGCUUAGAUAAACAGAACUUCUUCAAGGACUACAUUAAAACUCAUCUGUCGGUCAUUGCAUAAUAUAACAUGCAGUGUACAAGCUUCAGAAAUGUCUUCUAUACUGGAACAAAAAAUUUUAGGAGCUCCACCCAAAGUUACUGUAAUUAAUGCUCUAAAUUUUGAUUUAAUGAAAAACCAUUGUAUUCGAUAAAAAAACAAUUCUGGAAAAAAAUAUGGUCUAACAACUCAGAUUAGAUGUCUCUGUUGUUGAGGCGUCCAACCGGUCGUGAGGCCUACCUAGGUGAUAUUGUGUUCUACCUUCAUUCUUGUCUUUUGGAGCGAGCAGCUAAGAUGAGCGAUGCUAUGGGUUGUGGAUCUUUGACCGCUUUACCUAUAGUCGAAAUUCAAGCUGGUGACUAUAGUGAUGGCAACUUGUUAUCAAUUUCCGUAACUGUUAUAAACUGUUAUUGUUCACUUACACCAAAAAUAACAGUGAAAAUAACAGUUACUGUCUCACUCAACCCGUCAAGUCUCCGCCGCCGCCGCCGUAGCGAGUCGUCGCCAACGCCAUCGUCGUACCGGUCGGGGCGGAAUCGUUGCCCGCUCCGCGCCGGUACCGUCACCAGUCGUACUCUUCGCCGUCCGUCGUCGUUCCGCGCGACAUAAAACCGACCUUUCGCAUCGCCGACCGACUAGCUAGCGACGUCCGACGAUCCUCCGUCGUCGCGCGCAGGUGGCCGGAAAACGCGCUCGCGGGUGACAUACCGCCGGACACCGUCCGUGCUCUUUCCCGUAUUCCCUGUUCUGCGUCGCCGUCGUCCUGCCAGAUGUCUUCGGCGGAGGAGGUUGAACGAUGGUAGUUCCGCUCGAACGCCGUCUCAGCGUACGCAGCACAAGCGCAGAGCGACACGCUUAUUGAUGAUCUUCCCCGCAGAUCGUCUCUUGCGUGGCUUUGACAUCUCGAUGCGGGUGCUACGUACGGCUGAUCGGGCUCAACCGCUGCUAAGUCUUUUACCAUCACGGGGCUCCGGUUUCCACCACACCCUCCGCCGGCAAGUCAUCGUCGUUGUUUUUAUCGCUAUCCGAAUAUGCGGCCGUCGGACCGUCGUCUUCAAUAGCGGUCGGUUGAUGUUUAUUCUCUACUUCGAUUACCAUCACCGGCUCUCCUGUGUUUUCCACCGACUCGCCUGUAUUUUCCACCGACUCGCCUGUGUUUUCCACCGACUCUCCUGUGUUUUCCACCAACUCGCCUGUGUUUUCUACCAUACCGACUCUGAAACGUCGGACGUCUGGGUUGAUUGAUCGUUAAAUAAAAAAUGUCUAAUCGCCGGUGCUGGAACAAAAUCGGCACCAAUGCGAUCCUGGAUGGCCGUCACCACCAAUAAAAUUAAGUCGACAACUUCAUCUAUGGCCGCCAGUUCUUCAGCGGCGUCGGCGACAUCAUUUCUCUCGGCGUACAAGAGGACUAAUUUGUGUAACGUCUUCUCCAUAGUUGUAAUAUACGCAAGAAUAUAAUUAUAUAAUAAUUCUAAAAUAUAAAAAAUAUAAGGCUAUAACAGUAUAACCUAUAUACACACACACACGAUCGCUCGUCUCCAAUUUAAAGAUUUUUACUCUUGCUUAAUUAAUAUCUAUCAAAGUAUCAAUUGACAUUUAAUAUUUAAACGAAUAGGUAUCAACGAAAAUCAAGCAUUCAAUACAGUCAAAUUUUUCCGAUUAAAAUCAGCAAAAAUAAAAAUAACAAUAAAACCGAUCAAAGCUCUUGUCUGUUAUGGUACCUACCAUCAACAAAAGAGAUUACUCCUGCUCUUCUACUUCUGAAUAUUGCCAGUUUUACAAAAAACUAAUUAACCAAACAAAAAAGUAAAAAAAAAAUCUGUACAUUCGCUAGCAAAUUAAAAAAAAAAUACUUUUCAAUUAAUGAUGGUAAGUUCUCUGGUAUCGACAAUAAUAAGUAACAGAUUAGGUAUGUAUUGUAUAGCAAUGUACGAAUUUACCGUUCACCUAUGUAUUUGGCAACAUUGCUUAAAACUUUAAAAGUAAAAAUAAUAAAUCGAGCGCAAUCGUAUCGCGCCCCAUAUAUCUUAUAUUUAAAUUUAAAAGCCAACCACCCAUGUCCCAUACAAAACACCACAUUGCGGAGGAAUAUGGUAAUAUCAAUCAAAUCCAUUUUACGAUUCCAAUUUUUUC